AACGUAACGUGUGACGUAUUUGUUAUGUCGUUCGAUUUAAUCGACAAUAGUUUAAAAGUGUUCUAUUUUAAUUUUGUAGUAGACGAUUUUACGUAAAUUCCGAGUUUUUCUCACUCUAUUUUGUUAUUUUGUCGAAAAAAUUCGAUUUAAAAAACUUCAAGAAUCCGCUACUGUAUCGUGUACACAAUUUGCAUGACAGAUAUUAUUAAUAAUGAUGAAAACUGCCAUAUUCAUUUGCUUCUCUGUGUUGUUCCUGAAAGCGAAUUCUGAAAAAUUGGUGUUUUCAGACUGUUGUAAAGUGCCUGUAAAAAUAAUUCCAUGUGGAUUUUGGGAAUCGUCGGUAGGAUGGUAUUAUAACACCACUAGUAGACAAUGCGAUGUCGAAUUGUUAGGGUGCAUAGAUAAUUGUAAUGACUUCGAUUCGUGGAAAGAUUGUUAUGAAACUUGUAUAGGAGACUGUCUGGAAGUAGAGAAUUGUUGAGAAAAUUAGCCUUUUAUAUAAACUGUAUAAGUAAAUUAGUUUCAUGAUUGUUCAUUUUAGUGACGAGCCAUCUCAUUGAAAGUUAUUCGACAGAUUGUUUUCAAAUAUCUCUACAGAAUUUGAUGUAUUGUUACAAUGUAAGUAAGAAUGUGAAUAAAAUAUUUGAAAU